rnacentral:rRNA from 1 species
UACGGAAGGCAGCAGUGGGGAAUAUUGCACAAUGGGCGCAAGCCUGAUGCAGCCAUGCCGCGUGUAUGAAGAAGGCCUUCGGGUUGUAAAGUACUUUCAGUCGUGAGGAAGGUGUUAAGGUUAAUAACCUUAGCAAUUGACGUUAGCGACAGAAGAAGCACCGGCUAACUCCGUGCCAGCAGCCGCGGUAAUACGGAGGGUGCGAGCGUUAAUCGGAAUUACUGGGCGUAAAGGGCACGCAGGCGGUUAAUUAAGUUGGAUGUGAAAUCCCCGGGCUUAACCUGGGAAUGGCAUUCAAGACUGGUUAGCUAGAGUCUUGUAGAGGGGGUAGAAUUCCGAUGUGUAGCGGUGAAAUGCGUAGAGAUGUGGAGGAAUACCGGUGGCGAAGGCGGCCCCUGGACAAAGCUGACGCUCAUGGUGCGAAAGCGUGGGGAGCAAAC